UCCCUGGUGGCUCAGAUAGUAAAGCGUCUGUCUACAAUGCAGGAGAUCUGGGUUCGAUCCCUGGGUGGGGAA
rnacentral:tRNA from 1 species